rnacentral:lncRNA from 1 species
AAAUAAAAGACAUAUGUUGAAGUUCUAGAUCAUGAAAUUCCGAAUGUAUCCCUGAUACACUCUGUAACAAUCACUUUAUGUGAUUAUGGAAAUAAACCUUGGUAUUAAUUAUUUUUCGUUUUGUCACAAUUUUUAACAUAACGUAAAAUAAGUGAUCAUAUAUUUUGGCUCACUGUUUUGAAGUGUUCAGUCUAUGUUUAUGCAGGCUGAGGAUAUAGCUGAGUUGACACUCAUAGCAUCAGGAAUCUAUGGAAAUUAAAGCUGUUCAGCUCAUGGUGAGCAGGCAGCAAAGAGAAGUAACUGAGAGUAUACACAUAUACACCCACAUAGUGCUGAAAAUCAUGGCUCAGCUAAGCCUAUAUUCAAUAUGCCCAGAACACUUAACUAGUAUCCUAUAGACAAAAAAUCAUGAAGCCUAUUUUCCAAUAGAGUAUUGAAUAGAUCACGUGACUUACUGAACACAUACAUGUACAAAUACUGUCAUCAUGGAAUGGCAGUUUCAGCUGGAACUUCGGUGAGAUCUUAUGGUUGUCUGUCUGACCAGAACUACUGCUCAUUGAUACUGCUCUUUAUCCUGGGAUAACAUUGCACCAUAUAGUGCUAGUCUAGCAAAAGAGAUACAUUAAAAAUAUUAAAUUCGAUUUCUACUGGGAGAAUAUCGCCUUCACACUUUAGUGAUCAUGAACUAUUGUUACGUCGAGGGCAUCUUUCUAUAGAUAUUGUCUGUAUAGCUGUAGUUAGGCUAAAAAGAGAUCAUCAGGGUGGGCCAAAGUUUCAUGUGAUUAAUUUUCAUAGUACAAAAUGAGGACAAUACUUACAUAAGGUGAUGCUUACCAUGAGGACAUGUGAAGAAGUUGUCCAUUGGAGGGGAUGCCACCAAAGGGACCAGUCAACCCUGUUUAAAUUUGUUCUUGAACUUUCAGCCUUGAGACAUAUGAGAAACAUUUUUGUUCAGUAAGCUAUCUAGAAUGAGAUCAUUUGUUAUAACAGCUCCAAAUACAGUGUACAGUGAGGAUAGAGAAUAUGCUUGUUUAUUUUGUUAGUUCAAUUGCAUGAAUGUUUUCUAUCAAGUAGAGCAUCAUAUUUAACUCUAGAAUGAUGAAUAUCACUGUUAUAUAAUAUAAUAUAUAACUGGAAAUCACUGUUAAAUGGACUCUUGUUAUUUUUCCAUGGUAUGUCAGCAUUCAUAGAAGUACCUCUGCUGUGUUCUGCUGUUACAGGCAAAUAUUUAUGUUCUUAUACUCUCUUUAGUAUAAAAAGGGCGUUUUCUAAAAUUUCCACAGCAUAUCGGCCAGAUAAGGUUGCAACUUAGAGUUAGUAUCUAAUCCCUUCUGGCCCUGGUCAUCAUUAAAUCCCAUUAAACACAAAUUGCAACUUUAGUAUACACAUAUUUAUAGGUGUGUUCACUGAGUGACGAACUUGUUUGUAAGACUGGUGUGAUGAAGCCUCAGGAGAUUGCCUUACCACUGGACAACACAACUUUGAAUCUCAAGAGCUGGCUUCAGCUAAUUAUGAAGUGGAUGCUUUUCCAGCCUAUAGAUCUUGCAUCAGCUUAGUUUUUAAAUUCAAGGGUUCUCGAAGUGUUUGAUCUUUUAAUCAGAAAUUCAAAAGUACAGACAGGCAUUUAGUGGGGGGAAAAGUUAGUUUAGUGUACCUGCACUUAAUUUUAGGAAAAGAGUGGAUUAGAAGUGGGGAAGGCUAUAUCAACUGCCAUAAACUGGGGGACUCUUAAGUACAGAGGUGAUCCAGAUAAGUUACUAAGAGUUCAAAGGAUACUUUCUGCAUAGGGGAUGAAAGUGAACCUUGGGACAUGAGUUUUAUUAGUCACUUUUCACUGGCUGUGAUAAAAUGGCAUGACCCAAAGGCACCAAGGAACAAAGGAUUUCUUUUGGCUUGGUUUUUCAGAGGGACGGGAGCAUCAUGGCAGCAGAUGGAGAAGAGAGCUGAGACAUUACAUUUGCAACUACAGAUAUUAACC